rnacentral:rRNA from 1 species
GUGAGGAAUAUUGCGCAAUGGAGGCAACUCUGACGCAGCCAUGCCGCGUGCAGGAAGAAGGCGCUACGCGUUUUAAACUGCUUUUAACCGGGAAGAAACCCCAAGACGUGUCCUGGGUUGACGGUACCGGAGGAAUAAGCACCGGCUAACUUCGUGCCAGCAGCCGCGGUAAUACGAAGGGUGCAAGCGUUAUCCGGAUUCAUUGGGUUUAAAGGGUGCGUAGGCGGAGCGUUAAGUCAGUGGUGAAAUACUGCAGCUUAACUGUAGACUUGCCAUUGAUACUGGCGCUCUUGAGUGCGCUUGAAGUGGGCGGAAUGUGCCGUGUAGCGGUGAAAUGCUUAGAUAUGGCACAGAACACCAAUUGCGAAGGCAGCUCACUAAGGCGAUACUGACGCUGAGGCACGAAAGCGUGGGGAUCGAACAGGAUUAGAUACCCCUGUAGUCC